rnacentral:rRNA from 1 species
GAAGCCAACCUCAAGAUAAGAUUUCCCACUUCAUAGAAGGUAAGAUCCCAGAAAGACUAUCUGGUUGAUAGGCCCAGGGUGUAAGUGCAGCAAUGCAUUCAGCUGAUGGGUACUAAUAGAUCGAGGACUUGACCA